rnacentral:rRNA from 1 species
GACGAACGCUGGCGGCGUGCUUAACACAUGCAAGUCGAACGAAGAGCGAUGGAAGCUUGCUUCUAUCAAUCUUAGUGGCGAACGGGUGAGUAACGCGUAAUCAACCUGCCCUUCAGAGGGGGACAACAGUUGGAAACGACUGCUAAUACCGCAUACGAUCUAAUCUCGGCAUCGAGGAUAGAUGAAAGGUGGCCUCUACAUGUAAGCUAUCACCGAAGGAGGGGAUUGCGUCUGAUUAGCUAGUUGGAGGGGUAACGGCCCACCAAGGCGAUGAUCAGUAGCCGGUCUGAGAGGAUGAACGGCCACAUUGGGACUGAGACACGGCCCAGACUCCUACGGGAGGCAGCAGUGGGGAAUCUUCCGCAAUGGACGAAAGUCUGACGGAGCAACGCCGCGUGAGUGAUGACGGCCGUCGGGUUGUAAAGCUCUGUUAAUCGGGACGAAAGGCCUUCUUGCGAAUAGUGAGAAGGAUUGACGGUACCGGAAGAGAAAGCCACGGCUAACUACGUG